CCUGAUCCUGGUUUUCCAUGAACAUCCCAGCGGCAGUUCCUGGCUGGUCUGUCUCCCACUCAUACUUCUGCACGGGCUGAAAGGAACCGCUCCGCAACCCAUGUCACUCAGGAUUUAGGCACUUUGAGGGGGUAACAGAUCAGAUCGCUAUCACAUUGCAGCCUUCAUCACUGCACAUAUGCAACCAGUGCUGCUCAUUUGUCUACCUUGGCCACAAGCUCCAGUGGGUCUGAGUGCUCGCGUCCAUCGUCUUAGCCUCGGUGCCUUAUUCACUAAAUGGGAGUUUGCUGGAAUCCCACAUCCUCAUUUUCCCCAGACUCUGCCUCACCCCUCACUUAAUUUGCUGGGAUGUGGCAAGAAUCACAGGCAUUAGAGCAGAUCUGGAGGUUGGAUACUAGCUGCAGAUACAAGGAGGUUUUGCAAAAACCUAGUGAUCUUUCCUGUCAAAUACACAGCUUUAAUAAAAUCAGGUGUUCCUUUUAA